UCACGAUUAAUAUUCGCUUGAAACUUGAAAAAAGUAAAACAAAUCGGGGAAUCCCACUCGAAAACCUUUAAGUAGGUAUCUGGAUUUUCGGUUUCUAAGAAAUAUGGAUCUAGUGCACAGAUUACAGAGUAGAAUCUCUAGAAUGAUCUAGUGAAGGGACAGAUUACUUUUACCUGGCCACCCGAAGAAAUUAAAAGGGUUGAAAUUGCAACUGUCUGAAAAGACCUCUUUCGAUUUUAACUGUCCUCUGAUAUUUUAUAGGUUUUUGUGUUUCUCAAAUCAUUGUUGUCCCCAUCAACAUCAGUACUGUUUGCAGUCACGCAAAAUUGGUAAAUUUCAGAAUCUUGUUACAACGAUGGUUGUAACAAGUUGCUAAAGGAUGCUCCAAUGAGCAGAACAAAAAUGAGACAAAGAGUUUCCACAGGUUUCCUUUUAAACGCCCAGAUAUUUUGGAACUUUGGUUUACUGCUGUAGGAAGGGAAAAUUGGUAUCCCUCAAAGUAUAGUAGAAUAUGUGAAGAUUACCUUCAUAAUCCAAGUUAUACAAGAAAAAUAUUGAAACUUGAUGCUGUACCAAGUGUAUUCAAUAAUAUCCCAAGACAUUCAAGGAUCAUGGAAUACUUACAGUUCCAUCACUCUUCAUAUACAACUCACUGUGUUAUGUUCAGAAGUGGAAGAACUUUCCGACCAAUUCUAUAAAUCAUGCAUAUGAAACAAGAAAUAAAGACUCCUUGCAGAUACCAGUGCACCAUCUGAAGCGCAUAGACCAGGGCAUGGACUUCUGGGGCCCCAAACUAUAUAAUAAACUUUCUUCUGAGUUUCAUGACAAGUCCUUGAUGAACUUUAAGAGAGAAGUGAAAAGGUUGCUUUUAAAUGAAACUAUAUAUUCUAUACAAGAGUUCUUACCGAGGAAGAAUAUGUGAUGAGGAUUGUUUUUUAUUUUAAUU